GACCGUGUAACUCAGUUAGUAGAGCGUCGAUCUAGUAACUCGAAGGUCGCGGGUUCGAAGCCCAGCCGCGGUAG